GACAGAGGGGGCAAGCGUUGCUCGGAAUUACUGGGCGUAAAGGGCGCGUAGGCGGUCAGCACAAGUCAGUUGUGAAAUCUCCGGGCUUAACUCGGAAAGGUCAACUGAUACUGUGCGACUAGAGUGCAGAAGGGGCAACUGGAAUUCUCGGUGUAGCGGUGAAAUGCGUAGAUAUCAGGAGGAACACCGGUGGCGAAGGCGGGUCUCUGGGCCACUACUGACGCUGAGGAGCGAAAGCGUGGGGAGCAAACAGG
rnacentral:rRNA from 1 species